rnacentral:rRNA from 1 species
AAACCGUUCAGGGGUAAACCUGCGAAAUUCGAAUGAGUGAACGGGGAGAUUCAGCGCUAUCCCGCGCCGUGCGAAUGUGUGUUGAUGCUGUCUCUACCGAGUACGGUGAAAUGCGCCUUCCGUAACGUCGCGGGUGGCGUGUACUUCUCCCUUAGUAAAACAUCGCGACUCGUUCGAGGCGUGUCUAAGUGACGUUGGACCUCGUUCCUUUGUUCUCCUGCGGGUGCAACAAGGAGUUUGGUUCCGGCGCCGCCGGCAUGCCAUUGGACGGUAGCGAGGCACAUAGCGCACGCGUGUCACACGCGUCCGGUCGACGCAAGGCGACGUCGUUGCCGACCUCCUGCCCGAGUGCGGAGUCGGUGCGUUGUCCCUGUGGCUGCCGAUUCUCUCGGACUGUGCGCUUCUGUCUGCGAUGGUUCAGAUUCGGGCACACGCAGGA